GGGAUUAGCUCCUAGAAAUAGAGGUAAUACCGGGAUACGAUAGUGAGUGUCAGAGGCUCAUUAUGAAAAGGUUCUUUUGAACCGCUGAAGGAGCGGCCCGCGUACUAUUAGCUGGUUGGUGAGGUAACGGCCCACCAAGGCGACGAUAGUUAUCCGGCCUGAGAGGGUGAACGGACACAUUGGGACUGAGAUACGGCCCAGACUCCUACGGGAGGCAGCAGCUAAGAAUAUUCCGCAAUGGGGGAAACCCUGACGGAGCGACGCCGCGUGGAUGAUGAAGGCCGGAAGGUUGUAAAAUCCUUUUAGAUAUGAGGAAUAAGCAGGGUGAGAGAAACGCCCUGUGGUGACUGUAGUAUCAGAAUAAGGGGCGGCUAAUUACGUGCC
rnacentral:rRNA from 1 species